CAAUUAAAAAAAAAGUACAAUAUAUAAUAAAUAUUAAAUCAUAUUCAAGUUGAAAUGUUGUGUUAUUGAAGUUCAGGCAGUUGAAGGUAAGUUUUUAAGGCACAAUUUUUUUAUAUAUUCUGUUCGAGUUAUUUUAUUAGAUGAAAAUUCGUCAAUGAUGGCUCCAACGAGCUCCUGUUUUUUUAUUGAUUUAAAUUUAUUGCUAGAAGUAUUUUCAUGAUUGCAAGCUUUCCUUUGCGUUUCGGAUUGUAUUUUGGUCAGUAUGUCAAUAACUAAAAAUAUUGGGAUGAACGGUCUUGAAUUCCUUACUGAAUUUACCGUGGAACGAUUUACAUGCAUUUACGAUUACAUUACCUAAGGUGGUUACCUUAUUUCGAUGAGAGCCGUUUAGGAAUUUACUUUUUUAUAAAGCGGGAGCCGUUUGGAUUGCACCGAAGAAAUGUAUAGUAAAGGAACGCUAAAAAAUAAAAAAUUGUAGUUAGAUCCGUAUUCUUGCACACCACUUUCGCAACUCCGAGCACUGCGGUUACUAUAGAAAUCGAUUCACAUUCCUAUUGAUUAGUAUUUUACCAAGAUGUGCGAUUUGUUUUUGUACUAGUACCACCUACCAAGGGACUUUGGCCCUCUCGUUGGCUGUGUUAAUAAAAAAAAAAAAAAUCAUUUAAACUAUUAUAAGCAUUGAAAAAUUAAUUAAUUCCUAUUAAUUGCGAAUAAAAUAAUCACUGAGUGUUUAUAUUGCACUAUUAUCUCAACUACUCGGUAAGUACUUUGCAAAUUAACCUCGUGAAAAAGGCUUUAAUUUUAUUUACAGGCAUGGUUUGGCCUCUUCUCCCAUUGAAAAAUCUUUAGUGUGACAUCCGCAGACGGUCUCACUGAUGAUUAUUUUAUUAAGUGACAAAAACACAUUAAAUACGUGUCCGUGCGAAGGAGAAAUGCGUGAAAAAUGUUUCGUUUUUAUAGGACCGUUGGAGUAUAGAAAGAAUUUGGGAAACUGCACCUGAUAAU